GGGAUAACUCCGGGAAACCGGGGCUAAUACCGGAUGCUUGUUUGAACCGCAUGGUUCAAACAUAAAAGGUGGCUUCGGCUACCACUUACAGAUGGACCCGCGGCGCAUUAGCUAGUUGGUGAGGUAAUGGCUCACCAAGGCAACGAUGCGUAGCCGACCUGAGAGGGUGAUCGGCCACACUGGGACUGAGACACGGCCCAGACUCCUACGGGAGGCAGCAGUAGGGAAUCUUCCGCAAUGGACGAAAGUCUGACGGAGCAACGCCGCGUGAGUGAUGAAGGUUUUCGGAUCGUAAAGCUCUGUUGUUAGGGAAGAACAAGUACCGUUCGAAUAGGGCGGUACCUUGACGGUACCUAACCAGAAAGCCACGGCUAACUACGUGCCAGCAGCCGCGGUAAUACGUAGGUGGCAAGCGUUGUCCGGAAUUAUUGGGCGUAAAGGGCUCGCAGGCGGUUUCUUAAG
rnacentral:rRNA from 1 species